rnacentral:rRNA from 1 species
GACGAACGCUGGCGGCGUGCUUAACACAUGCAAGUCGAACGGAAAGUGCCCAGCUUGCUGGGUGACUCGAGUGGCGAACGGGUGAGCAACACGUGGGUGAUCUGCCCUGCACUUUGGGAUAAGCCUGGGAAACUGGGUCUAAUACCGAAUAUUCCUUGCUGGUCGCAUGGCCUGGUGGGGGAAAGCUUUUGCGGUGUGGGAUGGGCCCGCGGCCUAUCCGCUUGUUGGUGGGGUGAUGGCCUACCAAGGCGACGACGGGUAGCCGGCCUGAGAGGGUGUCCGGCCACACUGGGACUGAGAUACGGCCCAGACUCCUACGGGAGGCAGCAGUGGGGAAUAUUGCACAAUGGGCGCAAGCCUGAUGCAGCGACGCCGCGUGAGGGAUGACGGCCUUCGGGUUGUAAACCUCUUUCAAUAGGGACGAAGCGCAAGUGACGGUACCUAGAGAAGAAGCACCGGCCAACUACGUGCCAGCAGCCGCCGUAACAC